UACAGAGGGUGCGUGCGUUAAUCGGAAUUACUGGGCGUAAAGCGCGCGUAGGCGGCUUUGCAAGUCGGGUGUGAAAUCCCCAGGCUUAACCUGGGAACUGCAUUCGAGACUGCAUUGCUAGAGUAUGGGAGAGGGAAGUGGAAUUUCCGGUGUAGCGGUGAAAUGCGUAGAUAUCGGAAGGAACAUCAGUGGCGAAAGCGACUUCCUGGACCAAUACUGACGCUCAUGUGCGAAAGCGUGGGGAGCAAACAGG
rnacentral:rRNA from 1 species